rnacentral:pre_miRNA from 1 species
GGAGGCCUCUGGGUUCUGAGCUGUGAUGCUCUUUCUGAGCUGGGAUCUCUGGGGUCUUGGU